rnacentral:tRNA from 1 species
GUCGGAGUGGCGGAAUUGGCAGACGCGCUAGGUUGAGGGCCUAGUCCCGCUUAGCGGGAUGGGGGUUCGAGUCCCCCCUCCGACA